UGUUACAAAUGGUUAAUGUGCUUGGUUGCUAACCAAAAGGUUGGAGGUUCGAGUCCACCCA
rfam:Loxodonta africana unplaced genomic scaffold scaffold_4, whole genome shotgun sequence.